UAGAAAAAAGAAGGAGGCAGCCUAGGAUGAAAGGCUGUGGUAGGUCCAUAGGCUUUCUGGGAAAUUCAUCCCAUAUGCUCGCUGCCUGAUGAGUAUCGCGGAGAAAGGAAUACAAAAAGAGCCACUGCACAGUGCCAAAGAAGCACAAAGCUAACCUGCAUAGUGCCAAUCGAGUACAAAGUCAAAGAGACCAACCAAUCCCAAUAGGAUGGAUGAAAUUUGAACCGAGAUAAGAGGACUUGAACAUGUUUGGGGUUCAAGGUUGUGACUGCUUUGACAUAUAUCAGAGGCAGAUCUUCCUCAUCCUACAUUCUUCCAAGUACCUCACUUUGGCUGCCAUCCUGACUCCAGUAUCACUGAAAGAAAGGAAAACAAGACCACAGAAUGCUAUUUCCCAA